CCUACGGGGGGCUGCAGUGGGGAAUAUUGGACAAUGGGGGCAACCCUGAUCCAGCCAUGCCGCGUGUGUGAAGAAGGCCCUCGGGUUGUAAAGCACUUUCAGUGAGGAAGAACGCCUGGUGGUUAAUACCCAUCAGGAAAGACAUCACUCACAGAAGAAGCACCGGCUAACUCCGUGCCAGCAGCCGCGGUAAUACGGAGGGUGCGAGCGUUAAUCGGAAUUACUGGGCGUAAAGCGCGCGUAGGUGGCUUGAUAAGCCGGUUGUGAAAGCCCCGGGCUCAACCUGGGAACGGCAUCCGGAACUGUCAAGCUAGAGUGCAGGAGAGGAAGGUAGAAUUCCCGGUGUAGCGGUGAAAUGCGUAGAGAUCGGGAGGAAUACCAGUGGCGAAGGCGGCCUUCUGGACUGCCACUGACACUGAGGUGCGAAAGCGUGGGUAGCAAACAGGAUUAGAUACCCGAGUAGUC
rnacentral:rRNA from 1 species